rnacentral:rRNA from 1 species
UCUUGGUACUACAUGUACAGGAUAGGUGGGAGGCUUUGAAACCAGGACGCCAGUUUUGGCGGAGCCAUCCUUGGGAUACCACCCUUGUAGUACUGGGACUCUAACCAUAGGCCAUGAAUCUGGUCUUGGGACACUGUCAGGUGGGCAGUUUGACUGGGGCGGUCGCCUCCCAAAAGGUAACGGAGGCGCUCAAAGGUUCUCUCAGUACGGUCGGAAAUCGUACGUAGAGUGUAAAGGCAAAAGAGAGCUUGAUUGCAAGACAUACAGGUCGAGCAAGGAUGAAAAUCGGACUUAGUGAUCCGGUGGUUCUGCGUGGAAGGGCCAUCGCUCAACGGAUAAAAGCUACCCUGGGGAUAACAGGCUUAUCUCCCCCAAGAGUCCACAUCGACGGGGAGGUUUGGCACCUCGAUGUCGGCUCAUCACAUCCUGGGGCUGUAGUAGGUCCCAAGGGUUGGGCUGUUCGCCCAUUAAAGUGGUACGCGAGCUGGGUUCAGAACGUCGUGAGACAGUUCGGUCCCUAUCCGUCGCAGGCGUAGGAAAUUUGAGAAGACCUGUCCUUAGUACGAGAGGACCGGGAUGGACGUACCUCUGGUGUACCAGUUGUCCUGCCAAGGGCAUGGCUGGGUAGCUAUGUACGGAAUGGAUAAGCGCUGAAAGCAUCUAAGCGCGAAGCCAACUUCAAGAUAAGAUUUCCCACCGCAAGGGUAAGACCCCAGAAAGACUAUCUGGUUGAUAGGUCGAAGGUGUAAGUGCAGCAAUGUAUUUAGCUUAUCGAUACUAAUAGGUCGAGGACUUGACCAAUAU